GAAGCCGGAAUUGCUAGUAAUGGCAGGUCAGCAUACUGCCGUGAAUACGUUCCCGGGCCUUGUACACACCGCCCGUCACACCAUGAGAGUUGGAAAUACCCGAAGCCUGUGAGCUGACCUUUUGGGGGGCAGCAGUCGAAGGUAGAGCCAAUGAUUGGGGUGAAGUCGUAACAAGGUAGC
rnacentral:rRNA from 1 species